GAGGGUAUAGCUCAGUGGUAGAGUGCCCAGCAUGCACGAGAUCCUGGGUUCAAUCCCCAGUACCUCCA
rnacentral:tRNA from 1 species